GAUGAACGCUGGCGGCGUGCCUAAUACAUGCAAGUCGAGCGACCAGACGAGGAGCUUGCUCCUCUGACGUUAGCGGCGGAUGGGUGAGUAACACGUGGAUAACCUACCUAUAAGACUGGGAUAACUUCGGGAAACCUGAGCUAAUAUCGGAUCAUAUAUUGAACGGCAUGGUUCAAUAGUGAAAGACGGUUUUGCUGUCACUUAUAGAUGGAUCCGCGCCGCAUUAGCUAGUUGGUAAGGUAACGGCUUACCAAGGCGACGAUGCGUAGCCGACCUGAGAGGAUGAUCAGCCACACUGGAACUGAGACACGGUCCAGACUCCUACGGGAGGCAGCAGUAGGGAAUCUUCCACAAUGGGCGAAAGCCUGACGGAGCAACGCCGCGUGAGUGAUGAAGGUCUUCGGAUCGUAAAACUCUGUUAUUAGGAAAGAACAAAUGUGUAAGUAACUAUGCACGUCUUGACGGUACCUAAUCAAAAAGCCACGGCUAACUACGUG
rnacentral:rRNA from 1 species